GUACAUGGGAGUGUAAAUGUAGUGUAAAUAUAAAGGGAAAUGUUAUGUACAGGAGGUAUAAAGACAAAUAGUAGGUGUAAAUGCACGUGCCAGAUGUAGAGUAAAUAUAAAGGGGUUGUAACAUAGAGGAAGUGUAAAUGGGAUUGUAAAUGUAGUGUAAAUAUAAAGGGACAUGUAACGUAGAGUAAGUGUAAAUGGGAGUGUAAAUGUAGUGUAAAUAUAAAGGGAAAUGUAACAUAGAGGAGGUGUAAAGAGGAAAGUGACAUAUAGGUAUAAAUGGGUGUGUAAAUGUAGUGUAAACAUAAAGGUACAUGUAACAUAAAGAAGGUGUAAAGAGGAAAGUGGCAUAUAGUAGGUGUAAAUGGGAUUAUAAAUGUAGUGUAAAUAUAAAAGUAAAUGUUACAUUAAGGAGGUGUAAAGGGGAAAGUGACAUAUAGUAGGUGUAAAUGGGAGUGUAAAUGUAAUGUAAAUAUAAAGGUAAAUGUAACAUUAAAGAGGUGUAAAGAGGAAAGUGACAUAUAGUAGGUGUAAAUGGGAGUGUAAAGGGGAAAGUGACAUGUAGUAGAUGUAAAUGGGAGUGUAAAGGGGAAAGUGACAUGUAGUAGGUGUAAAUGGGAGUGUAAAGGGGAAAGUGACAUAUAGUAGGUGUAAAUGGGAUUAUAAAUGUAGUGUAAAUAUAAAAGUAAAUGUAACAUUAAGGAGGUGUAAAGAGGAAAGUGACUUGUAGUAGGUGUAAAUGGGAGUGUAAAGGGGAAAGUGACAUGUAGUAGGUGUCAAUGGGAGUGUCAGAUGUAGUGUAAAUAUAUAAAGGGGUGUAACGUGUAG
ensembl:lncRNA